rnacentral:rRNA from 1 species
AUUGAACGCUGGCGGCAUGCUUUACACAUGCAAGUCGAACGGCAGCGCGGGCUUCGGCCUGGCGGCGAGUGGCGAACGGGUGAGUAAUGCAUCGGAACGUGCCCAGUCGUGGGGGAUAGCCCGGCGAAAGCCGGAUUAAUACCGCAUCCGACCUGAGGGUGCCAGCGGGGGACCGAAAGGCCUCGCGCCAUUGGAGCGGCCGAUGUCCGAUUAGCUAGUUGGGGGGGUAAAUGCUUACCAAGGCGACGAUCCGUAGCUGGUCUGAGAGGACGACCAGCCACACUGGGACUGAGACACGGCCCAGACUCCUACGGGAGGCAGCAGUGGGGAAUUUUGGACAAGGGGGGCAACCCGGAUCCAGCCAUGCCGCGGGCGGGAAGAAGGCCUUCGGGUUGGAAACCGCUUUUGUUCGGGAAGAAAUACUCUGGGCUAAUACCCCGGGGGGAUGACGGUACCGGAAGAAUAAGCACCGGCUAACUACGUG